rnacentral:tRNA from 13 species
GCGUCCGUAGCUCAGCUGGAUAGAGUACCUGGCUACGAACCAGGCGGUCAGAGGUUCGAAUCCUCUCGAGCGCGCCA